UAUAGAGAGCAUAUAUAAUAAAGACGUCCACAUGCAUAAUAUAGGAAAGCAGUUGAGAGUAAAUAGGAUUACAGUCAUCCUCUAAGUAACUUCAGAAUAUAAGCCAAAGAGAUCUAAAAUAUAAGCUGAAAUGGGAAUUAGUAUUUCAGAAUAGCCAAUCAAACUAAUAACGUUCUGGUAGACUAGGCAGCAGCAUCGUCCUCGGCUUCCAAAGCUGUCUCUAAAGGAACCUCCUCGCCAUCUACUCCCAUCCAAAUGGAUGAUCAUCGCAAAAGGAAAACAUACACAAGCAAUACAAACAAGCAAGGACUGACUCGUCCGGACCGGAAUGAUUGCCGAGCUAUGGCGGGUUAUGCACUCGUGGUGGCCUCUACUGCUUUGCAAAGCCG
rnacentral:sRNA from 1 species